rnacentral:lncRNA from 1 species
GGACAGUGGUAAUGCAAUGCGUUUUGGGUUUCAAAUACCAAAAUUGGGACAGUGGAAAAUUCCUCAACUGAUUUGGAUGACCAGUAAUAUCGACUGUAACUACUGGGGAUUUCUUAGAACAGUUCUCAAAGGAAUACACCUUACAUUAUGACCCAGGACACAAACAUACACAAAUGUCUACAAACGUACAUAAAUCACCAAUUUAUUGUAAAAGGAUGUAACUCAGAAAAGCCAGAUGGAAAAGAUGCACAGGACAAGGAGACCCAUUGCUUAUGCUGUUGCUUCUACCUGAAACUGCCUCCCCUCAAAUCCCACAUAUUUCUGGGGAACGUCUGCACAUUCUUCAGGUGUCAGGUUAGAUGAGAACUUCUGUUUUUCUUCAUUUUUUUUUUU